GCGCGGAGCUCCUUCGGGAAUUCCGAUGUCGUCGGAAGAUGACCAAACUUGAAUAUUUAGAGGAAGUAAAAGUCGUAACAAGGUUGCUGUAGGUGAACCUGCAGCAGGAUCAUUA
rnacentral:rRNA from 1 species